rnacentral:rRNA from 1 species
AAUAUUGGUCAAUGGACGCAAGUCUGAACCAGCCAUGCCGCGUGCAGGAAGACUGCCCUAUGGGUUGUAAACUGCUUUUGUACGGGAACAAACCCUUCUACGUGUAGGAGGCUGAGUGUACCGUAAGAAUAAGCACCGGCUAACUCUGUGCCAGCAGCCGCGGUAAUACAGAGGGUGCAAGCGUUAAUCGGAAUUACUGGGCGUAAAGCGCGCGCAGGCGGUUUCUUAAGUCUGAUGUGAAAGCCCCCGGCUCAACCGGGGAAGGUCAUUGGAAACUGGGGAACUUGAGUGCAGAAGAGGAAAGUGGAAUUCCAAGUGUAGCGGUGAAAUGCGUAGAUAUAGGAAGGAACACCAGUGGCGAAGGCGACUACCUGGACUGAUACUGACACUGAGGUGCGAAAGCGUGGGGAGCAAACA